CACAAUGGGUGCCUACGCCUCGGGGAAACGCCGCUCCUCGCCUGGAGGGCUCGCUGUGCUGUGCGCUGUUCUGUGCUUUCCACCCCCGGGAUGCUGAUUCCCUUUGGCACCUGGAUGAGCCAAUUCCAUCCUGGUGGUGCGAGAUGGGAUGUUUGGAGAGGUGAAGGAGCCUUCAUGAGAUGCGUGUGCAGAUCUUCCCGGUAGCAGCUCAGCACCGAGAACAAAGCAACUGCCUUGUGAACAGAAGGACCCUUCCUGUGAAGGUCUGCAAACUUCUGACUGCUAAGAAAAAUGUGAUCCUUGUAGUGAGACUUGACACGUUUUGAAUGUAUUUUUAGUUUUGUUUCUUCUCAUGAUUAUUGCUUGAUUGUUUAGCUGUAGCUUUCAUGGCAGGGGAAAAAACUGUGCAAAGUGGACUUGCUGCAUGCCCUAUUUUGUCCAGCAGAAGAUAUGGCAAGGCUGACCCUUGUUAUUCUUGUUGCUGUGGCACUGAGAAAGUUUUGUAAAUUUGCUGGCAGACCAAUACAAAAACAACAAAAACAAAUAAAAAACCACCUCUUAAACA